rnacentral:rRNA from 1 species
UACGUAGGGGGGCUAGCGUUGUCCGGAAUCAUUGGGCGUAAAGCGCGUGUAGGCGGCCCGAUAAGUCCGCUGUGAAAGUCCAGGGCUCAACCCUGGGAUGCCGGUGGAUACUGUCGGGCUCGAGUCCGGAAGAGGCGAGUGGAAUCCUGGUGUAGCGGUGAAAUGCGGCAGAUAUCAGGAGGAACACCAAUGGCGAAGGCAGCUCGCUGGGACGUGACUGACGCUGAGACGCGAAAGCGUGGGGAGCAAACAGG